UCAAUACCGAUAGGUUUCAUCUUCAUUACCCGUAUGCUGCGCGGAGGUAUUGUGGUAUCCUGGUGACACGAGAUGUGGUCGCUGACUGAUGGGAUUUGGUCCGAGGACGAAGUCAUUGGAUCGAUAUUAGAUCUGCCGUCUUUGGUGAUCUGAGCAGACGAUAUCUAGCUGCCAGGACGUGCACGCCUCUUCUUCUGUUCAAAGGCGUAGUUGCGGAUUUUCUGGGAUCUAACUAGAUGAGAUAUUGAAAUACUGUCGGGAGAUAGUUUUUGACACUUGUGUGAUAAUACCAUAUCGCAAGACAAAGAUAGAUCUCCCGAUUUGGCGGAUUCCAGGAUUCAGCACAGAGAUAUUACAGAAUUAUUC